UUCUGGGAGGAUUGACAGAUCCAGAGCUCUUUCAUGAUUCUGUGGAUUUCGGUACAUGUCCGUUCUUAGCUGUUAAAGUGGUUUGUCUGGUUAAUUCUGAUAACAAACGAGACUCUAGUCAAUAAAAUACGUGCGUGGUCCUCUGCACCUUGCACCCUUCUAAAGCCUAGUUCACAUGCAGCGGUUUUGGCCCUAGAGCGGCGCGAUUUCUGCCGUCGCGGCGCUCUGGCCAGCACCAGCAAUUCUGCGGCACGGGCGCCGCGACGGCAGAAAUCGCGCCGCUUUAAGGGCCACCCACACUAUGCUUCGUUUCACCUUAUGUGCGAGCGAAGGCAAAGCUGGAAGCGCGAGCACGAAAGCUCCGUGUGUCUAG
rnacentral:rRNA from 1 species